rnacentral:rRNA from 1 species
GACGAACGCUGGCGGCGUGCUUAACACAUGCAAGUCGAACGGAAAGGCCCUGCUUUUGUGGGGUGCUCGAGUGGCGAACGGGUGAGUAACACGUGAGUAACCUGCCCUUGACUUUGGGAUAACUUCAGGAAACUGGGGCUAAUACCGGAUAGGAGCUCCUGCUGCAUGGUGGGGGUUGGAAAGUUUCGGCGGUUGGGGAUGGACUCGCGGCUUAUCAGCUUGUUGGUGGGGUAGUGGCUUACCAAGGCUUUGACGGGUAGCCGGCCUGAGAGGGUGACCGGCCACAUUGGGACUGAGAUACGGCCCAGACUCCUACGGGAGGCAGCAGUGGGGAAUAUUGCACAAUGGGCGGAAGCCUGAUGCAGCAACGCCGCGUGCGGGAUGACGGCUUUCGGGUUGUAAACAGCUUUCGCCUGUGACGAAGAGUGAGUGACGGUAAUGGGUAAAGAAGCACCGGCUAACUACGUG